AAAUCUAUGCUUUGCUCCAACAAUCACACUUUACAAUUACAACUGUCGCGUGUAUGUUCACACACACAAACAUACAUCUACACAUGUUUAUUGGUGUGUAGGUGCCGCAUAUUAAUAAGCCGGGCGCGGGCGCAGAUUUAUAAAGCACACACAUACAGAUACAGACAUACGCACCACACUUAAAAUUCUACGAGAUUUCUUAUUUUCAUCCACAUUCACUUAACCAUCCAUCUGUGUCCAUAUGUAUGUAUGUGUACUCCUGGCUUGCGCCCGUGACGUCACAUUUAGUAUGCUGCCCACGAUCGAAAAUACGAUAAUUACAAAUUAAUAUUGAUCAAACGAUAUAGUAAAUGGAUUGAUAAAUCUGUUCAUUCACCUCGGUGAAAUUACAGGAAGAACGUUGAUCAACAAUAGAAUGAAUAUUUGCAAGCAAAAAAAGAACAUGAUCUGCAUACCAAGCUUCAAUUGGUCGUGUGCCUUGCUUUGUAUGGGUUAAGCGUGGCUUUGUUGUAACUGUAAGUGCGUGUGUGCGUUGAACAGUGGUUCGCAUAUUAUUUGACACGUAUCAGCGAACUUUAAUUUGACACUUGUUAAGCAGCAAAUAAUUUGUGUGUCACUGUGUAUGCAUAUGCGGGAUAAAUUUGGGCAAAUGAAUACGCAAGUACAUUACGAAUACAGUGAAAGCUCCAUAGCGAACACCCCUUUUGAGCGGAUUCGUUCUUCAAAAUAAAAUUUAUUGAAAACAUAAAAAACAAUGUCUACAGAACUACGAUUAUUUCUGAUGUAUGUAUAAAAAUCAUUUCAAUAUUAAAACUGACUAAAAUUGAUUAAAGUGGAGUGCCC